rnacentral:lncRNA from 1 species
AAAUCUCAGGCAGAAAAACCCAUGAGAUGCAAGAUGGGAUGCCAGUGACAUCAAAUGAGGAAGAUUCAUAUCUCCUGAUGCUCCAUGUGGAAAGUUGAAAAUAAAAUUACUCUGAAGCCACAUAAUUACAAACAAACAAAAAACCAGGAACCCUGAAGAUGCAGAACAUACGAAAAUAUUACCUCUGUAUGACUCAUUUUCACUGUUGAAUAACAAACUUAAAGUGCAUUUACAUCUGAGAAGCAAAGGACAUCUCCCUGAAAAGAAGAUUCUGUUGU